GAUCGAGUAAUUCUGCGUGCAAAUUUUUUGAACCUAUAUAAAUAUGUAUGUGUGGGAAAAAGAAAUAACAUCAAAUUAUCAUGAGGUUGACGUGCAUUUCAAAACACACUCUCUUAGUUCGAAUUUUACAGUGACCAGGAAACAGAAAAAACAAAUUACAAACGAUGUCGAAGAAAACGUAGAUACUGUCAUCAGAUCAGAGACGUAUAUUUCCUGCAUAACAUAAAAACCACAAACUUCAGCUCCCCAUUUCUACAAUAUGUUCACAAGUAAUGUGGAAAAAAUAAAACACACUGUUCCAAUAAAAUAACAAGAAAAAAAAAUGUCAUAAGUGUGUUAAGGAUGACGGAAAAUCUAUUAUGACUAAUGUUUCUUGAAAAUAUAAGUUUGUUAAUUAAUUUGCUAGAAAACGUUUUUCAAGGAAAAUAUUUUUCACCAAAUUUGAAGAAUGACUUCUCUCACCUUUAGUGGAGUUUAUUUUCAUCCACAACUCUUUUAAUUCUUUACCUGAUAUCGUCACUUUAACAAUACUCAAUAUUAUUAUCCAUCUUUAACACUCCAAAAAUUUAUCAAUUCAAAUACAACAACAACAUAUCCAGUAUAUUCUCACAAGUGGAAUUUGGAGAGAACAGUGUGUAUGCAAACUUUAUCCUAUUUUGUGCAGGCAGAGAGAUUGUUCAAUAGACCAUCAGUAUCGAUUCAAAUAAAUAAAUUCAAAAUGAGAAUUCUCAAACAUCAAACUUAGGUUGUUUAGAAAAAUAUAUUUUUAAGAAAAUACUAGUAAGUCUUAAAACAAUGCACCAAGUUAAAUAAUAUUACCAGAAAUUUUCGCCAUGCAAGGACGAUGCUAUAGAAAGUCUUCUAGCUGUAGAUUUAGCUUUGACUUUAACAGUAGCUGUUUUGCCUUCUGAAUUUCUUCGAUCAACGGCAGAAGUCACUCUAUCUUCCGCUAUAACACGUAGUGCAGGUCUCCAUUUUUUAGUGUCCUUUGGCUUUAGCCUUGGCCUCUCCUCAUGCGGAAAGAUAGUUGGGGAGGCAGUUUCCUCACUUGGCGUCAUCGUGGCGCCGCCGCCCCAACAUGCACCGAAGUUCGGCAGAUACUUCAUUGGUCACAAUAAAUUU
rnacentral:lncRNA from 1 species